GCGGCCCCCCCGCCUACCCACAAUGCAUUGCGGCGGCCCCAUACCCAUAAUGCAUUGCGGCGGCCCGCCUACCCACAAUGCAUUGCGGCCGACCCUACCCAUAAUGCAUUGCGGCGGGCCCUUACCCAUAAUGCAUUGCGGUCCCCGCCUACCCACAAUGCAUUGCGGCCGACCCUACCCAUAAUGCCUUGCGGCGGCCCCGCCUACCCAUAACACAUUGUGGCUUCAAUCCACGGCACGGUUGGAACUAUCGCCACACCCCCAUUCGUGCGGGCUUUCCCCCGGCAGCUCAGCAUAGCCAGACUGCAGACUCCUACUGAGGAAGGCGCUGCUGUGCAGGAAUCAGCAUGGGAUGUGCUAUGAGGCAACAAUGUCAGCUUUUCAUCUGAGAGCAAACUGUCCCUUGGAGAGCUGUUGCCAGG